ensembl:snRNA U6 U6 spliceosomal RNA
CCUACAUGCUGGGUGCAGCACAGACUGAAACUGGAAUGAUACACAGAAGAUCAACACAGCCCCUGUGCAAUGAUGACAUUUCCAUCUGUGAAGCAUUCCGUAUUUUC